rnacentral:rRNA from 1 species
UGGUCAAGCUACUAAGGGCACUCGGUGGAUGCCUUGGCGUCAGGAGGCGAUGAAGGACGUGGUUAGCUGCGAUAAGCCAUGGUGAGCCGCAAGCAGGCGUCGACCCAUGGAUGUCCGAAUGGGGAAACCCACUCCGGGUCAUGCCGGAGGAGCUCGCCGGUGAAUACAUAGCCGGCGAGUGGCCAACCAGGGGAAUUGAAACAUCUCAGUACCCUGAGGAAAAGAAAUCAAGCCAGAGAUUCCGCAAGUAGUGGCGAGCGAACGCGGAAGAGCCCAAACCGGGGGUCUAAACCACCUCCGGGGUUGUAGGGCCGCCGACGUGGGACCUCGAGCCGUAGUCGAAAGGCCUGGAAAGGCCUGCCAGAGGGGGUGAAAGCCCCGUAGACGAAACGGCGAGAGGCCCUAGGCGGUACCUGAGUACCACGGGGCCCGAGUAACCCUGUGGGAACCUGGGAGGACCAUCUUCCAAGGCUAAAUACUACCUGACGACCGAUAGCGAACCAGUACCGUGAGGGAAAGGCGAAAAGAACCCCCGCGAGGGGAGUGAAAAGAACCUGAAACCGAGUGUCUACAAGCCGUGAGCGCACUAUGCCCCUUCGGGGGAAUGUGCAAUCGCGUGCCUUUUGCAUAAUGAGCCUGCGAGUUACGAUGUCCGGCGAGGUUAAGUCGAGAGACGAAGCCGUAGCGAAAGCGAGUCUGAAGUGGGCGUCAAGUCGGACGACGUAGACCCGAAACCCGGCGAUCUAUCCAUGGCCAGGAUGAAGGGCGGGUAACACCGCCUGGAGGUCCGAACUCACUGACGUUGAAAAGUCAGGGGAUGAGCUGUGGAUCGGAGUGAAAGGCUAAUCAAGCUGGGUGAUAGCUGGUUCUCGCCGAAAUAUAUUUAGGUAUAGCCUCGGAGCUUCUGUGACGGAGGUAGAGCACUGGAUGGGCUAGGGGUCCUACCAGAUUACCAAACCCAACCAAACUCCGAAUGCCGUCAACUGUGACUCCGGGAGUCAGGCGUCGGGAGCUAAGUUCCGGCGCCGAGAGGGAAAGAGCCCAGAUCGUCAGCUAAGGUCCCCAAAUCGAUGCUAAGUGGCAAAGGAUGUGGGAGCGCUUAGACAACCAGGAGGUUGGCUUAGAAGCAGCCAUCCUUUAAAGAAAGCGUAAUAGCUCACUGGUCAAGCGAACCUGCGCCAAAAAUGUAACGGGGCUGAAGCAUCGUACCGAAGCUACGGGUUGGACGUCACCUGCGGGUGGCGACAGCGGUAGGCGAGCAUUCCAGUUGCAGCGAAGGUGGACGGUAACGACCGCUGGAGCGACUGGAAGAGCUUAUGCAGGCUUGAGUAGCGACAAAACGUGUGAGAAACACGUUCGCCGAAAGCCCAAGGGUUCCUGGGUAAAGUUAAUCUUCCCAGGGUUAGUCGGACCCUAAGCCGAGGCCGAGAGGCGUAGGUGAUGGGUAGCAGGUUAAUAUUCCUGCACCACUACGGAAGUUUUCGCAGGAGGGACGAAGAAGGGCAGCGGAUCCGGGUUGAUGGAUUGCCCGGUUCAAACCCGUAGGCGGACCGCUUUGGAGGCCUCGUGCCACAAACGGGUGGUCAACGCCGAGAGGUGAAGAGGAGAGCGCUUUGCGCUCACGAACUCCGUGAUCCCAGGCUUCCGAGAAAAGCUCCGGCGGAGCUAACUUCUGUGGUGACCGUACCGGAAACCGACACAGGUGGGCGGGGAGAGAAUCCCAAGGCGCUUGAGAGAACCCUCCUUAAGGAACUCGGCAAAAUGACACCGUAACUUCGGGAGAAGGUGUGCCCUCGGUACGUGAAGCUGAACAAGCGGAGCGGAAGAGGGUUGCAGAGAAACGGGGGUAGCGACUGUUUACCAAAAACCCAGCACUCUGCGAAGUCGCAAGACGACGUAUAGGGUGUGAUGCCUGCCCGGUGCCGGAAGGUUAAGGGGAGCUGUCAGCCGCAAGGCAAAGCAGCGAACCGAAGCCCCGGUAAACGGCGGCCGUAACUAUAACGGUCCUAAGGUAGCGAAAUUCCUUGUCGGGUAAGUUCCGACCUGCACGAAUGGCAUAACGACUUCCCCACUGUCUCGAGGAGGGACUCAGCGAAGUAGCACUAGGGGUGAAGAUACCCUUUACCUGCGGCAAGACGGAAAGACCCCGUGAACCUUUACUGCAACUUGGCACUGAUCUUCGGGUUCGUUUGCGUAGGAUAGGUGGGAGGCUAUGAAAUCGGGACUCUGGUCUCGAUGGAGCCAACGUUGAAAUACCACCCUGACGUAUCUGGAGAUCUAACCUGCACCCGUGAGCCGGGUGGGGGACAAUGCCUGGUGGGCAGUUUGACUGGGGCGGUCGCCUCCCAAAACGUAACGGAGGCGCGCGAAGGUUCCCUCAGCCUGAUUGGAAACCAGGCGGCGAGUGUAAUGGCAUAAGGGAGCUUGACUGCGAGACUGACAAGUCGAGCAGGUGGGAAACCAGGUCAUAGUGAUCCGGUGGUUCCAGAUGGAAGGGCCAUCGCUCAACGGAUAAAAGGUACUCCGGGGAUAACAGGCUUAUCACUCCCAAGAGUUCACAUCGACGGAGUGGUUUGGCACCUCGAUGUCGGCUCAUCGCAUCCUGGGGCUGAAGUUGGUCCCAAGGGUUUGGCUGUUCGCCAAUUAAAGCGGUACGCGAGCUGGGUUCAAAACGUCGUGAGACAGUUUGGUCCCUAUCUGCCGUGGGCGUAGGAUACUUGAGAGGAUCUGUCCUUAGUACGAGAGGACCGGGAUGGACGGACCGCUAGUGAACCGGUUGUGGCGCCAGCUGCAUCGCCGGGUAGCUAUGUCCGGACGGGAUAACCGCUGAAAGCAUCUAAGCGGGAAGCCUCCCUCGAGAUAAGGUAUCCCUGAGCUUCGGCUCCUGAAGACCCCAUGUAGACCACGUGGUUGAUAGGCCGGGUGUGGAAGCGGAGUAAUCCGCGGAGCUAACCGGUACUAAUCGGUCGUGAGGCUUGGCCAC